AGUGAACGCUGGCGGCGUGCCUAAUACAUGCAAGUCGAACGAAGUGGCGCACGGGUGAGUAAUAUAUAGUUAAUCUGCCCCAUACAGAGGAACAACAGUUGGAAACGACUGCUAAUACCUCAUAGUGUAGGAUGAGACUAUAUCGUAUCAGCUAGUUGGUAAGGUAAUGGCUUACCAAGGCUAUGACGCGUAACUGGUCUGAGAGGAUGAUCAGUCACAUUGGAACUGAGGCAGGAGCCAAACACCUACGGGAGUGAGCAGAAAGGAAAAUUGCGCAAGGGGGGAAACCCUAGCACAGCAACGCCGCGUAGAGGAUGACACUUUUCGAAGCAUAAGCUCGGUUUAUCAGGAAAACGGUACCUGAUGAAGAAGCACCGGCUAACUCCGUGCCAGCAGCCGCGGUAAUUC
rnacentral:rRNA from 1 species